AAAAAAAGACAGUAUAAUCUACAUCUAGAACAACUUUUAAGUGUCUAGUAUAUACAACUUGUACAAAAUUUAUCUACAUUGAGCAAAGCUACUAAACAAGGCCUUCUCGACUAAGAGAAUCAUACUUGAUCCCGAGAGUCGACCAUAUAGAGCUCCUCGCAGCUUCUUAUCCAUCCUCAACGACAACGUCUUCGGCACCACAACCUCCCCACUCCUCGACUCAGCAUCCGCCGCUGCCAGAUUCCAACCAUUCCACAAAUAGUACGGCAUUGGAGGGAACGGCCAUGAAAAUCCAUGGCUUGGCGCUCCUCUGUUGCCAGAACAAAAUAUGAUAUAAACAGGAAAGCAAAGCAUGAAAAAGGAGCAAUACUUCCAAACUGGCUGGAUUUGCUUUGAAUCUUUAAAACAGGGGAAUAGUCCCAACUCAGGAAAUUCAGAGCAAAAACUAGACACUUUGACUAAUAAAAAUUCAGUGGUUUGAAUA